rnacentral:rRNA from 1 species
UGGGGAAUAUUGGGCAAUGGGGGCAACCCUGACCCAGCGACGCCGCGUGGGGGAAGACGGCCUUCGGGUUGUAAACCUCUUUUGUACGGGAAGAAGGAAGUGACGGUACUGUACGAAUAAGUCCCGGCUAACUACGUGCCAGCAGCCGCGGUAAUACGUAGGGGACGAGCGUUGUCCGGAAUUACUGGGCGUAAAGGGCGCGCAGGCUGUGCUGCAAGCCAGCUGUUAAAUGUCUGGGCUUAACCCGGGCAUGCGGUUGAGACUGCGGUGCUGGAGUGCUGUAGAGGCAAGUGGAAUUCCCAGUGUAGCGGUGAAAUGCGUAGGUAUUGGGAAGAACACCGGUGGCGGAGGCGACUUGCUGGGCAGCAACUGACGCUGAGGCGCGAAAGCCAGGGGAGCAAACGG